GCAUUGUAAUCUCAAGAAGUGUUUCCGCUUCGGACCAAGCCUAAGUCCCACUGGAAAGGGGCAUCAUAGAGGGUGAUAAUCCCGUACAUGGCUUGGAGCGCCCGUAGCUUUGUGAUACACUUUCUAAGAGUCGAGUUGUUUGGGAAUGCAGCUCAAAAUGGGUGGUAAAUGCCAUCUAAGGCUAAAUAUUGGGGAGAGACCGAUAGCGAACAAGUACAGUGAUGGAAAGAUGAAAAGAACUUUGAAAAGAGAGUUAAACAGUACGUGAAAUUGCCAAAAGGGAAGGGUAGGAGGUCAGAGAUGCGGCCUAGGAUUCAGCCUUGCUUUUGCUUGGUGUUUUUCGCUAGAUUGCAGGCCAACGUCGGUUUUGGGCACUGGAGAAGGGUGGAAGGAACGUGGCACCUCUCGGGGUGUGUUAUAGCCUUCUACUGGAUACAGCGACCGAGACCGAGGACAGCAGCGUACUCGCAAGAGCGGGCCUUCGGGCACCUUUACGCUUAGGGCGUUGGCAUAAUGGCCCUCUA
rnacentral:rRNA from 2 species